UUUCUUUUUCCUCUUAAGGUACAACAGUGAAGUUACUUAAAAGUUUUGGGGAUUUUUAGCAUCUUCAACAAGAAGGGUAUCUAAUAAUGGGAGUUAAAGAACAAUCUGCAGUGCAGGAUUUCUUCAUUAGAUGAGAUCCGUGAAUAAGACUGGGUUUCCUGCUAGAAGCCAAUGAAACACGUUUACCCCAGGUCAGAGGACAUGUGCACUCUUCUUGCUGCAUGUGUAACCCUUUGCUACAGGCUCUUGGCAGGUACUACAGCCUUGUUAAUCAACUUGUUAACUUCAAUCCUCGUGCUGGGAUUCACGAUGACCAACACAGCAUUUGUCAUCAUGUACCUAUCAAAUUUCCUCAGAAUCCACCAGCAGCCUUAGGUGGGAGAAGACACUACAUGCUGGAGCAGCCUACUGUGUAGCUUUAUCUUUACCUAAACCUCAUCAAUCUGUUGGGUAUGAAUGCAGCUUCUUCAGUGAUGCCUGUUUCUUGGACAGUGCUGUACUAGAAUUGUUUGAGAAUGUGGCAUGUGCUAUGGGAUUAUCAACUUACGUUUCUGUGACACCAUCCACAAAAGCACCAAGGAGCUUUACUGAGAUUUUAAGGUACGUCUUCAAAAGCUAUACUAAUUUUUCGUUAAGUUUUUGUACUGCCCUUGAUCCAAUGGACUUUCAUUUUAAAGGCUGUCGAGCUAUUCCCAUAUUAAGAAAAGAUUUCCCACUUAACUGUGAAAGUGUCUUGAUGUGUAUCUAAGAUCUUGUUGAUAUGAUGAAACAUUGUCAUUUCUAAUGUGUGUGUCACCCUUAAUUACUAUUCAGAUUCAGUAUCAUGCUAUGACUUGUUCUAUGUAGCUGGUCCUGGAAUUUCAGGUAUAUGGUGGUUUCAGACCACAAAUGUGACCAACUUCACAAAUGUGAGGCCAAUUACAAAACACUCAAGC